GUGGGGAAUCUUGCGCAAUGGGCGAAAGCCUGACGCAGCGACGCCGCGUGGGCGACGAAGGCCUUCGGGUCGUAAAGCCCUGUGGGGAGGGACGAACACGCCGAAAGGCUCUGACGGUACCUCCUUAGCAAGCACCGGCCAACUCCGUGCCAGCAGCCGCGGUAAGACGGAGGGUGCGAACGUUGUUCGGAAUCACUGGGCGUAAAGCGCGUGCAGGCGGCACGGCGUGUCGAGUGUGAAAUCCCUCGGCUCAACCGAGUGAACGGCACCCGAAACUGCCGAGCUGGAGUACGGGAGAGGGAGGCGGAAUUCUCGGUGUAGAGGUGAAAUUCGUAGAUAUCGAGAGGAACACCGGUGGCGAAGGCGGCCUCCUGGACCGAUACUGACGCUGAGACGCGAAAGCGUGGGGAGCAAACAGGAUUAGAAACCCCAGUAGUCC
rnacentral:rRNA from 1 species